rnacentral:rRNA from 1 species
UACGUAGGGUGCAAGCGUUGCUCGGAAUUAUUGGGCGUAAAGAGCUCGUAGGCGGUUUGUUGCGUCGGCUGUGAAAUCCCGAGGCUCAACCUCGGGUCUGCAGUCGAUACGAGCAAACUAGAGUGUUGCAGGGGAGACUGGAAUUCCUGGUGUAGCGGUGAAAUGACGCAGAUAUCAGGAGGAACACCGGUGGCGAAGGCGGGUCUCUGGGCAACAACUGACGCUGAGGAGCGAAAGCGUGGGGAGCGAACAGG